rnacentral:rRNA from 1 species
AGGACGAACGCUGGCGGCGUGCUUAACACAUGCAAGUCGAGCGGAAAGGCCCUUCGGGGUACUCGAGCGGCGAACGGGUGAGUAACACGUGAGUAAUCUGCCCCUAGCUCUGGGAUAGCUCCGGGAAACCGGGAAUUAAUACCGGAUACGACCACCUUAGACAUCUUUGUGGUGGAAAGAAUUUCGGCUAGGGAUGAGCUCGCGGCCUAUCAGCUUGUUGGUGGGGUAACGGCCUACCAAGGCGACGACGGGUA